CGCGCGAGGCAGCCCACGUGGGCGCUUCCCGGCGCACAUGGCGCUGCCCCUGCGGAGGCUGCUGCAGGCCCGCCGGCCCGCGGGCCGGCCGGGGGGACGGCGCGAGGCCAGCCAGGGCGCCGACCCCGGGGCUGCGGUGCGCGUGCGGUUCGCCCCCAGCCCCACAGGCUUCCUGCACCUGGGCGGCCUCCGCACGGCCUUGUACAACUACAUCUUUGCCAAGAAGCAUGGAGGGAGCUUCAUCCUGCGGCUGGAGGACACAGACCAGACGCGCCUUGUGCCUGGGGCCGCGGAGAACAUUGAGGACAUGCUGGAGUGGGCAGGCGUCCCCCCAGACGAGAGCCCGCGCCGGGGCGGCUCCGCCGGCCCCUACCAGCAGUCUCAGCGGUUGGAGCUGUACGCCCAGGCCGCGGAAGCGCUGCUCAAGACCGGCGCGGCCUACCCCUGCUUCUGCUCGCCCCAGCGGCUGGAGCUCCUGAAGAAGGAGGCGCUGAGGAACCGCCAGACGCCCCGGUACGACAACCGCUGCCGCCACCUGACCCAGGCGCAGGUGGCCCAGAAGCUGGCCCAGGAGCCCCGGCCCGCCGUCCGCUUCCGCCUGGAGGGGGAGGCGCCCGCCUUCCAGGACCUGGUCUACGGCUGGAACCGGCACGAGGUGGCGAGCGUGGAGGGGGACCCGGUCAUCCUCAAGCGCGACGGCUUCCCCACCUACCACCUGGCCUGCGUGGUGGACGACCACCACAUGGGCGUGAGCCACGUGCUGCGGGGCUCCGAGUGGCUGGUGUCCACGGCCAAGCACCUGCUGCUCUACCAGGCCCUGGGCUGGCGGCCGCCGCGCUUCGCCCACCUGCCGCUGCUCCUCAACCGCGACGGCAGCAAGCUGUCCAAGCGCCAGGGAGACAUCUUCCUGGAGCACUUCGCCGCCGCCGGCUUCCUGCCCGAGGCCUUGCUCGACAUUAUCACCAACUGCGGCUCGGGGUUCCCAGAGAACCAGAUGGGCAGGACCUUGCCGGAGCUGAUCGCACAGUUUGACCUCUCCCGGAUCACCUGCCACUCGGCGCUGCUGGACCUAGAGAAGCUUCCAGAAUUCAACAGGCUGCACCUCUGCCGGCUGCUGGGCAGCGAGCCGCAGCGGCACCAGCUGGUCGGGAAGCUGCGGGCACUGGUGGAGGAGGCGUUCGGCAGCCAGCUGGAGGACAGGGCCGUCCUGGAGCCUGCCUACCUGGAGAGGAUUGUCCUGCUGAGAAAGGGUCACAUUGGCCGCCUGCAGGACCUGGUGUCCCCGGCUCACGCCUACCUGUGGACGCGCCCCGACGUGGCCCGGGCGCAGCUGGGGGCCAUCACGGAGGAGGCGGAGGUGAUCGCCAGGCGUGUGCUGGGGUGCAGCCCUAAGGAACCCGCUUCUCUCCCAGGCUGCUGGACGGCCCCGGGCUGAGCCUCACCCAGGACACGCUGAACGGGGAGCUGAGGAAGCUGUCGGCGGGUCUGCAGGGCACCAAGCACAGCCACGUGAUGAAGCUCCUCCGGGUGGCCCUCAGCGGGCAGCUGCAAGGCCCGCCGGUCGCCGAGAUGAUGGUGUCCCUGGGCCCGCAGGAAGUGCGGCAACGGAUUCAGAAGCUGCUGUCCAGCUGAAGGGACGAGGAGCGGCCAGAGCAGGGGGCCGGGGAGCCUGCACGCACGGCGGCUGCCCUUACGGGGAGCAACAGGCAGGAGCCAGGAGUGGACCCAGACUCUCGAGUGGAUCCAGCCUCCACGCCCCUCUCCUGGACCCCAGAGGCUGCCUGGUAGCCGGUACCAUGUCACACAGCAGAGCGGAUUCACAGAGCAUUCCUGGAGGAGUCAUGAGUCUCAGCUGGCUCGGGCUGGCAUUAGAAAACACCGCCGAUGGGGCCGGAGGGACAGCCCAGCAGGCGGGGCAGCACGAGGCCCAGGCUAGGUCCCCUGAGUGCCGCCAGAGGUGGGCAGGAACAAGUAUGUGUGUGUAAAUAUACAUAUAUGUAACUAAA